rnacentral:lncRNA from 1 species
CAUGCUCUUAGCUGAGGACUGCCUCCUGCCCCCUUCCCAGCGUGGAGGUUUUGGAUGCAAUAGCCACCACUAUCUGCCAGCGGAGUUUCUGAACAUCAUGCAAGAGGCUGCUAACCACAGGCACGCACCUCCUUCUACCCCGUUCCUCCAGCCCUUUGGACAGGCGGAACACGCAUUCCUACUCCCACUGUGCAGCAGAGGAAACUAAGGCCCCGAGAAGAUGGUGAAUCUGGAGCUCAGAGAGGUGCUGAGACUUGCUCAAGAUCACACAGCAAAGAACAGGCAGGGCUGGGAUUCCGGGCCAAGGCUGGUGUUCUCUUCCUGACACGACAGUAUUACCCCAAAGUCUUUGUUUUCCAUUCUCAAGUUCAACAUCAGUGGUGGAGCUGUAGCGGGGGCUGCCGAAGCUCCGCCCAGAUCCACAGGGCCCCUUUAUCCUCUUGGUGUGACCACUGCCCGCUUCUGUGCGCUUUGCUUCCAAUGGCCCUCGCCUGCAACCUUCUUCAGGAGGCGACCCUUGGGCCCUUGGAGCCAUUGGCCCAGACACAGGGCUGACCGUGCCUGUGUUCACUGGGGUCCAUCGCCAAUGGCUGACGGGAACCAGAGCAUUAAGCCCAGCUCCCUCACCUCGAGGCAGGACAAACUCUGAGUUGUGAUUUACCCUCCAGAGCUCCUCGUGCGCUCAGGCUGGUCCUAGGACUUCGCCUGGGAUGGGAUGGCACCUUGCUUGGUUUCUCUCUCUUCCCUGUCCUGCUCCACCCACUCCCUCCCUCCAGUCUCCCCUGGGAGCACUUCCUUAAUACAUCCAUUAUAAAUAAAUUCUCACUUCAACGUCUGCUUCUGAAUGUGACCUAAGACAGGCGCUGACCAAGGGCUCCAGCAUCAAGAUUGCAAAAAGAGACGGGAUCAGAGAGGGAGGGGACGCUCCUUUGCUAAAAUCUGACCUUCGAGGGGAGCCCUUAGUGAAGCUGUGGCCAGCCACGGAGGUGGGGAAGAAGUCAUCUGAGAAUGUGCUGGAAUCUAUUUGCAAAUGAGCUGUGAUCUUAAAGGACUGAGGUCUCGUCCUCUCCUCUGAAUGACAGAAGUGGGAGCUUGGGGAGUGAGUCCUGGCUCUGGCCAGGGGCACAAACCUGCUGCGUGCUGCCUUGGAUCUGAGACAGAGGUUAGCAUGCAGGACAUCUGCUAGAGGUAGAUUCUUAGGAACAAAACCUACAAAGGAGUGAGGAAAGCAGGAUUGGGCUGAGAGAGAUGGGAUUGCGAUGCAAUUGUAUCAGAGCUCCCAGGGGAUCCCACGGAGACCUCUGGGGCUGGGAGGGCCCUGAGAGACGUCCUC